UGGUGUGGAUGGGAUGGAUAUAAAUAUCAAGCUGUCAGGAGAAACCAUAAGAGAUUUUGUUAAAUGCAUUGAUUGCAACAAACCAAGGGGGAUUUACUCUGCUAAGAAGCGUUUAGUUGAUCAAAAGAGACAUUUGGAAGACUUGAAAGAAGAAUGUGUCUACACUUGUGGUGGAAUACUUGUACCAGAAGUUCAUGAACUCUAUGGAACUGUUUUUGUACAACCUAAAGUUACUUGUGCUGCUCCUGUUGUUGCUCACUGUUUUGUGGCUUGGUCAACAUUCAAAAGUGUAUGGUUUCAUUGUGGGGAUGAGGACAUUUUCCAAUAUCGGACGAAUUGAAGAAAAACUUUCAGCAGUUCAUCCAGUUUGUAAUUCAUGCAAAAGAAAUGGUGUUAAUGAACGCACCAAAGGUGCUAGAUCUCUUAAACGGAAACCUUAAAGUGAUACACUGUGCAAAGCAUUUAAAAGUGAUACACUGUAUGAUGACUAUUUUCAAAACGCCAGUUCUAUAAUGCAGGGAAUUUAUUUUAAGUGUUGUGCCAAAGAUAUAGAUUUUUCAUUAUAUUAUUUGUUAUUUUUGUUACAAAAUGAAGAAAAUACUUCAAAAUAUAUAAUAAAUUUAAUAUUGUUGAA